rnacentral:rRNA from 2 species
UCCUUAGAUCAAGCAGCUUGUGUACUGCCGUCGUAAGCACACCUCUAAAAGCAACCAGUAUGCAAUUAUGAUACUACUCAUUUACGUCAGGUCAAAGUGCAGCUCAUGAGAGGGUGAUGAUGGGUUACAUCCUAAAUAAAGAUACAAAUUAUGAUAUUAAUACUCAUAUGAAGGUGGACUUGGAAGUAAUAUAUUAUUCAAAGUAAUAAUGAAAAAGAAUCUAAGACAUGCACACAUCGCCCGUCACUCUCGCCUAAAGGCGAGAUAAGUCGUAACAAAGUAGGUGUAACGGAAGUUGCACCUGU